rnacentral:SRP_RNA from 1 species
GCUGGGCGUGGUGGCGCACGCCUGUAAUCCCAGUUACUCAGGAGGCUGAGGCAGGAGAAUCACUUGAAUCCAGGAGGCGGAGGUUGCAGUGAGCCAAGAUCAUGCCACUGCACUCCGGCCUGGGUGACAGAGUGAGACUUUGUCUCAA